rnacentral:rRNA from 1 species
UGGGGGAUAUUGCACAAUGGGCGAAAGCCUGAUGCAGCGACGCCGCGUGGGGGAUGAAGGCCUUCGGGUUGUAAACUUCUUUUGCUCUGAACAAGGCGCACCAUGGGGUGUGUUGAGUGUAGGGGUUGAUUAGCGCCGGCUAACUACGUGCCAGCAGCCGCGGUAAUACGUAGGGCGCGAGCGUUGUCCGGAAUUAUUGGGCGUAAAGGGCUUGUAGGUGGCUGGUUGCGUCUGUCGUGAAAGCUCAUGGCUUAACUGUGGGUUUGCGGUGGGUACGGGCUGGCUUGAGUGCAGUAGGGGAGGCUGGAAUUCCUGGUGUAGCGGUGGAAUGCGCAGAUAUCAGGAGGAGUACCGGUGGCGAGGGCGGGUCUCUGGGCUGUUACUGACACUGAGGAGCGAAAGCAUGGGGAGCGAACAGG